rnacentral:rRNA from 1 species
AACCCUUGACAUGGCAGGAACGCUGGAGAGACUAAGAUUUCGCGUAAGAGACCUGCACACAGGUGCUGCAUGGCUGUCGUCAGCUCGUGUCGUGAGAUUUUCGGUUAAGUCCGGCAACGAGCGCAACCCACGUCCCUAGUUGCCAGCAUUCAGUUGGGCACUCUAUGGAAACUGCCGAUGAUAAGUCGGAGGAAGGUGUGGAUGACGUCAAGUCCUCAUGGCCCUUACGGGUUGGGCUACACACGUGCUACAAUGGUGGUGACAGUGGGUUAAUCCCCAAAAGCCAUCUCAGUUCGGAUUGUCCUCUGCAACUCGAGGGCAUGAAGUUGGAAUCGCUAGUAAUCGCGGACCACCAUGCCGCGGUGAAUACGUUCCCGGGCC